UAACAAUGGAGACAUAUGUAGAUGCAGUCAAAUCUAAGAAAAUUCCAAACCCUGGUUCGUCAUCCUUUGACACCAUUGCCGCUUCACGAGAGGACCCUUGAUACUUCCAAAGCUUCAUUUCUUCAUGGCUAUAUCAAGGACAUUUCAACCAUUCUUGGAGAAGUAUCAAACUGAUCAGCCGGUCAUGCCUUUCCUACACAAAGUCUUAACUGAAAUACUGAAGAGUCUUCUAAGACGCUUUGUCAAAAAAGAGCUACUGGAUGUCUCUGUGGUUAAACUGGCCAGAUUAGAUGCAACUGAUGUGCAGACCUGGGUCCCUCCUAAAGAUGUUGACAUUGGAAUAGGUGCUUCCUCUGUCCUUAAGGUACUGUAUAGCUGGAGACAAAGAAACAUUUAAAGGGAUAGUUCAGAAAUUAAAAUUUUGUCAUCAUUUACUCACCCUCAGGUUGUUCCAAACUUAUAAAAAUGUCUUUGUUAUGCUGAAUGCAAAGGAAGACAUUUAGAAGAAUGUCAGUAACAAAAUAGAUAUCAUCCCCCAUUGACUUUCAUAGUAUUUAUUUUUCCUACUAUAGUAGUCAGUGGGGAAUGAGAUGUUUGGUUGCUGACAUUCUUCUAAAUAUCAAAUAAACGUAUUAUAUAUCAAGUGAAAAUAAAUAGCAGCAUUUUCUGAGCAGUAUGCAAUUUACAAAUAUUACAAAUAAAUACAGAUAUUGCAAAUAUUGCUAGAUUUUAUUUACACUUUACAAAUAGAAGUGUUUAUGCAUUAAGUGUAGUUACAGGCUAUUUAUUUGGGGUGGACUGAGCAUACUUACCAACAAGCAAAACUAGCUACUGACGUGGAUGUAUGGGAUCAUAUUGUUGACUGAAAUAUUUUCAUAAAUAACACAUUACUCAGAUUCUAAAUAUUUUUUAAUUUUAUUUCUCAGACCUUUCCUUGUGUAAUGUUGAGUGAGAGGAGAGAGGCGAGCGGAUCCAAUAGCGAGCUUUUAUUAACAGGACGAGACAAAGACAUAGUCGUACAGGCAGGGUCAAGACAGGAGCAAACAGGUAGAUCGCAGGCAAGACGUAGAGAAUAAUCCUUAUAACGAUACAGAGUCCAGAAAGGCAGGCGGCGAGACAGACGAAACGAGAUGGCCAGGCGAAAAUACUAAACACAGGAAACUAGGAACACAGAACGCUAGGAAACUAGGAACUUAGAACACUAGGAAACGGCAACAACAACAAUAACACCAACAAUACUCCAUGGCUUGCAUGGGGAAAGUCCGGGGCUUUUAUAGAGCUGCUGAUUGGUCACGGGGCUGACGCAAUCAGCGCGAUGGAUACUGGGAGAUGUAGUCCGGGGUGUGGUGCAACAGUCAGAGUGUGUGGAUAAGGUGGGAGCGACAUCUGGUGGUGAGCGGUCCGCAGAACACCGACCAGAUUCGUGACACCUUGUCAAUAAUGUUAAAUAAACAAUUGAUUAAAUAAAAUGUAUAAAACAUUGCUAUUCAUCAUUUCUUUAUAUAUUUAAUGCACUGUAAAUGGAGCAUGUCUGGAACCUUCUUUUUUAUUUCUUCAGGGAUGUUAAUCAUCUCCACAACUUUUAGCUUUAUGUGCCAUUCAGAUAGUACUUGUAGGCUGAAAAUAGCCUAACAUUUUGUGUCAGGAUAUGGAAAAUAUUGUAUAAAUUGGUAGUCAAACUGAUAAAUAUGCAUGAGCAAUGAAUUAUUCUGUUUAUCUCUUAUAAAUCUCAACUUUCUAUUGUAUACCCACCUGUUUCCACUUAAACAAUUUAUAUUGUAACCAGUGUAAUUAUAAAGUUUAUAAAGUUCAGUGCCAUAAAAUGGUAUUUGUUUCUGGUUAGGAAAAAUAAUGGCCAAAAAACAAAACAAUACAAAAAGAAAGAAAAGAAAAAUGCCCUUAAAUGAAAUAAUUAAACGGCACAUGGAUGGUCUCAACGAGAUCAUCAAUGUUGUUUAAGCUGUCCUCCCUGAUUUGUCAUGCAAUUUGUGUGCAAUCAGCCAGUAAAUGAAUGUGACCUCUAAUUGGAGGAACAGAAAUUAAGGAAUAUAUAUAUACUGAUGACUUUUAUACAUUACCAAACCAGCCAACAAAAAAAAAUGAUGGAUUGUGUUAAAGUAAGGGAACUGGUAAAUGUUCUACAGCAUAACCUCUAUCCUGAAGGCUGCUCAAGCAAGGAACGGUAUCAUAUAAAGAGAAGGGCUGAAAAUUUUGCACUAAGGGGUAAGUGAGUGUGUCUUCAUUCUCAUCUCUAGAAACUCUGACCCUCAUUUACUCAUACACUGAAUAAUUCAGAUGGAGAGCUACAUUAAAUAUGUAGAAGACAAAAAGACCACAGUCAACACUUGGCAAAAGUUGUCCUUUCACCUGAAGAGGCACAUAACAUUUUUGUUGAGUUUCAUGCCAGUCCCCUUGGAGGACAUUGUGGCAUGGAAAAAACUCACCAUGCAAUUAUCACACGAUUUUACUGGCCUGGGAUGGAGCAGGACAUCCAUAAGUGGGUAGCUCAGUGCCCUCAGUGCCAGGCCAGGAGAGCCUCUAUAAAAGAAAAGAAGGCAUACACUCCUAUAACUGUGAGUGAGCCUCUGGAAUUAGUUGGGAUGGACUUAAUUGGGAAGCUUACGCUAACAGAAAGUGGCUACCAAUACAUUUGUGUAAUGGUGGAUUACUUUACCAAGUGGCCAGAAGCUUAACCACUUAAGUCCAAAAGUGCAGCAGAUGUCACAGAAUGCAUUAUUGACUUCUUUUACAAGUUUGGAGCACUGAAAAGACUGUUGACAGACCAGGGAAAAGAGUUUGUGAACAAGGUGAAUUACUCUGUAUGUGAGAAACUGGGGAUCAUGAGGAGUCUCUGUUCCCCAUACCACCCACAGACCAAUGGUCUUGUGGAGAAAUUGAAUGGAACAAUACAAAGAAGCCUGACUAAGAUGGUUGGCGAAAAGCCAUCAUCGUGGGACCAGCAUCUUAAAGCAACAUUGUUUGCUCUCCGCACAAAAAAACAGAUCACCACAAAAUAUUCCCCAUACUACCUCAUGUUUGGACGAGAGGCAAGAUAUCCAUGUGAGGUGCCCAGUGAU